UCAAGGAGUAGUUUAAUUAGAAUUUCAGCUUUGGGUGUUGAAGGUGAGGAUAUAAGGUCUUCUUCCUUGAA
rnacentral:tRNA from 1 species